rnacentral:rRNA from 1 species
AUUGAACGCUGGCGGCAUGCUUUACACAUGCAAGUCGAACGGCAGCGCGGGCUUCGGCCUGGCGGCGAGUGGCGAACGGGUGAGUAAUGCAUCGGAACGUGCCCAGUAGUGGGGGAUAGCCCGGCGAAAGCCGGAUUAAUACCGCAUACGCCCUGAGGGUGAAAGCGGGGGACCGAAAGACCUCGCGCUAUUGGAGCGGCCGAUGUCGGAUUAGCUAGUUGGUGGGGUAAAGGCUUACCAAGGCGACGAUCCGUAGCUGGUCUGAGAGGACGACCAGCCACACUGGGACUGAGACACGGCCCAGACUCCUACGGGAGGCAGCAGUGGGGAAUUUUGGACAAUGGGGGCAACCCUGAUCCAGCCAUGCCGCGUGCGGGAAGAAGGCCUUCGGGUUGUAAACCGCUUUUGUUCGGGAAGAAAUCCUCUGGGCUAAUACCCCGGGGGGAUGACGGUACCGGAAGAAUAAGCACCGGCUAACUACGUG